rnacentral:rRNA from 1 species
UUUGACCUCAAAUCAGGUAGGACUACCCGCUGAACUUAAGCAUAUCAAUAAGCNGGAGGAAAAGAANCUAACAAGGAUUCCCCUAGUAACUGCGAGUGAAGCGGGAAAAGCUCAAAUUUAAAAUCUGGCAGUCUUUGGCUGUCCGAGUUGUAAUCUAGAGAAGUGUUAUCCGCGCUGG